UAUGCGAUCUAUAUUUUGGGGGGUUUGGGCAUAAAUCACAUCUAAAAUAAGAAAUUGCAAAACCACAAGUUUUAAUUGCACAAAAAAAGAAAAAAAGAAAAAAAGAAAAACUCAAUAAAGGUGCAUGGUAUUCGAUGAACCAAGGUCUCUGAAGAAUAGGAAUAGCCAGCUGCACUAUUUUAAUGGCGGCUCGUCAAGUUUGAAUUGUGCAUCACCAUAUAUAUAUAGCCGUUGUUCUCAAAAGGGUCUUCAUAAUUUGUCAAAACUCGAUCUGGGUCAUCCUAAAUUUCCUCGAAUAUCAUCAUCAAUCAUCGCCAUCAUUUCAGAUUGAAUUAGCUGAGAGUAGCUGGGUUUUACAUGUGCUUGCUGAAGGUGGCGAACCAGAGGAGCUCAGGCGGUCAAUACGACAGGUUUGAAUCUUCAAACGACGAUGACCAUGGCGAAGAAGCCUACACAUACGAAGAACAGCCACAAGCUGCUGCUAUUAAUCAUGAAUUAAUGAACCAAUUACCUCACCAGAACGUUUCGCCGACAAUGUUUUUGGGGUACAGUCGGCCAACGGAGAUGUCGGCAAUGGUAUCUGCUUUAACGCAUGUCGUUUCUGGACAGAGAGGCAGUGACAGCUGGGGACAUAUUGGAAGCGGUGGAGUUACGUCUAGUUUUGGACAACUUUAUUCUUCUUCUUCUUCUUCUUCUGCUUCUCCUUCUGCUUCUCCUUUGUCAGCUUUUUCAUCUACUUCUGGUCCCUCUGCCUCUGGUUCUCAUAAUUGGGUUGGCCAAAAACGAGGGCGUGAAGAAGAUUUAGCUGCUGCUGCUGCUCAGGCCCAAUUCAUGGAAUCUGCUAACAGAGUUUACAGAGGAAGCUAUGGUGAUUUCAGAGCAACAACACAAUCUGAGUCUUCAUCUGGUGCAACAGAAGAAGCUACAAAUGCUGUCACCACCACGACCACCGCCUCCGCCGCCACCGCAGCUUCUGCCGUACCAUCCACACCAUCAAGCUCAGAAACUGUUUCAUUUGAAGAACCCGCAGAAAGGAGGAGGAGAUACAGGGGAGUGGAGACAAAGGCCAUGGGAAUGGCAGCUGAGAUACGUGAUCCACACAGGCUGCAGAGUCUGCUCGCACAUUCGACACGGCGGAGGCCGCCGCUCGAGCCUACGAUGAAGCUGCUUUAAGAUUCAGAGGAAACAGAGCCAAACUCAACUUCCCAGAAAAUGUCAGGCUUGUACAUCCCCAACCACAGCCACCAAAUCUCCAAAACUUCAAUUCAGAUUCUGCGCCAACCCAUUUAGCUCCAAUCUUAUCUGCUCAGCCAUUGCAGCUACCACCACAACCACCACCACAACUUUACCAGCCCCAACCCUUUCAUGGCUCCUCUGACUUUCUCAGAGACUACUUUGACUACUCUCAGUUGCUUCAGAGCUCCACUGACUUCCAUGCACAGCAGCAACAACAACAACAGCAGCCUACAAAUUUGCUACAGCAAAUGUACUACAAUUCCCAACUGGCUUCACUUCAAUCUUCCUUGUUAAAUCCACCAUCAUCCUCCAGUUCCUCUUCUACAUUGCCAUCCUCUGCUUCUGCCUCUGCUUCAUUUCCUCUGUUCUUCUCUGAUCAGAAUCAGCAACUUGGUUUCUUCCGCCCGCCGCGAAAUCAGAUUAAUCCUGGUGGUUCUUCUGAUUUCCCAGCACCAUCUUGGUCACAGUCCGGCAACAACCCAUCCUCUUCCGGUUAACACUUUCAUGAACAAUUUUUUUUGUUUUUUUUCCUUUAUUUUAUUAAUUAGAGCAUUUUCUUGUCACUAGGUUUUUAUUUUUAAUAUAUUAUAUAAAUAUACCCCAGUAUUUUGCACGUAGUUUUGUUCUAGUUGUUUAUGUCAUCCUAGUACUGUAGAGCGAAACACAGAGCAAAUAGAAUAUAUAAAUGAUAAAGCAAAGAGAUAGAAACAAGGCAGCACUUAGGAUUUAGGUGUAGUUUGUUCUCAGAAGAUUUGAUGUCUACAUUCUUUUCUCAGCGACUAUCUAUGGAAAAAUGUAGAAAUAUUUUUUUUAACCUGUCUGCAUUUUGCUUUACAUCCAGAGAUCAAUUAAAGAAUGCCUUUUGCCAUUUUGUUUGUAAAUAAAAUAA